rnacentral:tRNA from 1 species
AAGAAAGUAAGUUAAAUUAAACUCUCAGUUUUCAAAAUUGAAAAAGAAUUAUUUAUUCCUUUCUUG